UCAAAUACAUCAUUGAAAUUAUCUCCCUUACACUGCUUUUAAAUUAUGUAUAAAGUAAUGGUUAAUGAACAAUAAAGAUAAUCUAAAACAGUGUAAGGGAGGUAAUCCAAAUACAACGUUUUGGUUACUUCCCUUACACUGCUUUUAAAUUAUGUUUAAAGAAAUGCAUAUUUAUAAAGGAAGACCAGUAAAAAUAUCUGCAAAUGUUUUCAUCUUUUUUUUUUACAAAAAAAUCCAUAUGAAAGAUUUGACACUAUAUUUUUAUUAAUUCUAUUAUAAAAUAGAUUAAGUUAGCACUAUGGUAAAUUUAAAUGGGUAAUUAUGGUUGCCAACUCCAUUGGAAAUUUGAAUUGAGAUUAUGACCAUAUCUUGAGGGAAAGAAUUUUUUGGGGGGAAAAAGGGGGGGGGGAUAAAAAGAAAUUGUGGGGGGCCAAUUUUUUCUCAUUUCAGAUUUCAGAAAUUAAAAAGAAUUAUUCUUCAAAUAUUUUUUUUUUUUCAAAUUUCAAAUAUUGAAAAAUUUCAAGACGUAAUCUUUAAUUGCACAGUAUGGCGCAUUAGAUUUGUAAAAUCUUUGAUCACAUUUAUUUAUUUGUUAUGCUGAAUCUAACAGUGUAUUUAGAUUUUUAAUUUUGGGUCCAGUUUUCAAAUUGGUCUACAUUAAUGUCCAAAGGGUCCAAAAUUAAACUUUGUUUGAUUUUAGCAAAAAUUGAAUAUAUGAGGUUCUUUGAUAUGCUGAAUCUAAACAUGUGUUUAGAUUUUUGAUUUUUGGCCCAGUUUUCAAGUUGGUCCAAAUUGGGGUCCAAAAUUAAACUUUGUUUGAUUUCAACAAAAAUUGAAUAUAUGGGGUUCUUUGAUAUGCUGAAUCUAACCAUGUAUUUAGAUUUUUUAUUUGUGGACCCUGUUAUCUAAUUGGUUCAUAUUGAGAUCAAAAGGGUCCAAAAUUAAACUUUGUUUGAUUUCAUCUAAAAUUGAAUUAUUGGGGUUCUUUGAUAUUCCAAAUCUAACCUUGUAUUUAGAUUUUUAAUUUUAAGUCCCGUUUUUUAAAUUGGUCUACAUUAAGGUCCAAAGGGUCCAAAAUUAAACUUAGUUUGAUUUUAGCAAAAAUUGAAUUCUUGGGGUUCUUUGAUAUGCUGAAUCUAAACAUGUGUUUAGAUUUUUGAUUAUGGGCCCAGUUUUCAAGUUUGUCCAAGUUGGGGUCCAAAAUUAAACUUUGUUUGAUUUUAACAAAAAUUGAAUAUAUGGGGUUCUUUGAUAUGCUGAAUCUAACCAUGUAUUUUGAUUUUGGACAUUGGACCAUAAUAGGUAAAUUAAAAAAAUUCAAGUUCUUA